rnacentral:rRNA from 1 species
AGCGAACGCUGGCGGCAGGCCUAACACAUGCAAGUCGAACGAACCUUUCGGGGUUAGUGGCGGACGGGUGAGUAACACGUGGGAACGUGCCUUUAGGUUCGGAAUAACUCAGGGAAACUUGUGCUAAUACCGAAUGUGCCCUUCGGGGGAAAGAUUAAUCGCCUUUAGAGCGGCCCGCGUCUGAUUAGCUAGUUGGUUGAGGUAAUGGCUCACCAAGGCGACGAUCAGUAGCUGGUCUGAGAGGAUGAUCAGCCACAUUGGGACUGAGACACGGCCCAAACUCCUACGGGAGGCAGCAGUGGGGAAUCUUGCGCAAUGGGCGAAAGCCUGACGCAGCCAUGCCGCGUGAAUGAUGAAGGUCUUAGGAUUGUAAAAUUCUUUCUCCGGGGACGAUAAUGACGGUACCCGGAGAAGAAGCCCCGGCUAACUUCGUG